rnacentral:tRNA from 1 species
ACCUCCGUGGCUGAGUUGGUCUGACACCAGGCUUGCACACUGGAGGUUCUGGGAUCGAUUCCCGGCGGAGUCG